CCUACGGGAGGCAGCAGUGAGGAAUAUUGGUCAAUGGGCGCGAGCCUGAACCAGCCAAGUAGCGUGAAGGAUGACUGCCCUACGGGUUGUAAACUUCUUUUAUAAAGGAAUAAAGUGAGGCACGUGUGCCUUUUUGUAUGUACUUUAUGAAUAAGGAUCGGCUAACUCCGUGCCAGCAGCCGCGGUAAUACGGAGGAUUCGAGCGUUAUCCGGAUUUAUUGGGUUUAAAGGGAGCGUAGAUGGUUUGUUAAGUCAGUUGUGAAAGUUUGCGGCUCAACCGUAGAAUUCCAAUUGAUACUGGCAGGCUUGAGUACAGUUGAGGUAGGCGGAAUUCGUGGUGUAGCGGUGAAAUGCUUAGAGAUCACGAAGAACUCCGAUUGCGAAGGCAGCUUACUAAACUGCCACUGACAUUGAGGCUCGAAAGUGUGGGGAGCAAACAGGAUUAGAUACCCUUGUAGUC
rnacentral:rRNA from 1 species